GACGAACGCUGGCGGCGUGCUUAACACAUGCAAGUCGAACGGAAAGACCCUGCUUUUGUGGGGUGCUCGAGUGGCGAACGGGUGAGUAACACGUGAGUAACCUGCCCUUGACUUUGGGAUAACUUCAGGAAACUGGGGCUAAUACCGGAUAGGAGCUCCUGCUGCAUGGUGGGGGUUGGAAAGUUUCGGCGGUUGGGGAUGGACUCGCGGCUUAUCAGCUUGUUGGUGGGGUAGUGGCUUACCAAGGCUUUGACGGGUAGCCGGCCUGAGAGGGUGACCGGACACAUUGGGACUGAGAUACGGCCCAGACUCCUACGGGAGGCAGAAGUGGGGAAUAUUGCACAAUGGGCGGAAGCCUGAUGCAGCAACGCCGCGUGCGGGAUGACGGCCUUCGGGGUGUAAACCGCUUUCGCCUGUGACGAAGCGUGAGUGACGGUAAUGGGUAAAGAAGCACCGGCUAACUACGUG
rnacentral:rRNA from 1 species